UGCAUAUCCCAAAAGCGGAGGAAAAGAAACUAACAAGGAUUCCCCUAGUAACGGCGAGUGAAGCGGGAAGAGCUCAAAUUUGAAAUCUUAAAGGGUUUCCCUUUACGAAUUGUAGUUUAAAGAAGUGUUUUCUGUUGAGGUUUUGGUAAAAGUUCUUUGGAAUAGGACAUCAUAGAGGGUGAGAAUCCCGUAUUUGACCUUUACUUUCAACUUUGUGAUACACUUUCAAAGAGUCGGAUUGUUUGGGAAUGCAGUCCAAAAUGGGUGGUAAAUUUCAUCUAAAGCUAAAUAUUGGCGAGAGACCGAUAGCGAACAAGUACCGUGAGGGAAAGAUGAAAAGAACUUUGAAAAGAGAGUUAAACAGUACGUGAAAUUGUCAAAAGGGAAGCGUUUGACACCAGUGUUGUUUUUCUGAAAAUCAAUUAAAGAACUGUUUAUGCUAAGUUGUUUAGACUUUAUCAGCUAUCUGUUUAGUUUUGAGCUUUUCUUUAAUGCACUUUUCAGUUAACAAGUCAACAUCAAUUUCUUUUGCUGUAAAAAAGCUUGAGGAAGGUGGCUUGAGAUUCGUCUUAAGUGUUUAUAGCCUCUUGCCUAUGCAGUCGGAGAGAUUGAGGUCUGCAGCGUAGAUCCUUCGGGGCUAAAUGCAUUUGUGCUAAGUUAUAGCAUUUUAUAGACAACUUGUUGACUAUGAUUUGUCUUGUAGCUUACUCGCUUAUGUUAUUUUACCUACGCUUAGGAUGUGACAACAGCCAACGUU
rnacentral:rRNA from 1 species